rnacentral:rRNA from 1 species
GUGUCAGCAGCCGCGGUAAUACGUAGGUGGCAAGCGUUGUCCGGAUUUACUGGGCGUAAAGAAUGCGUAGGCGGAUAUUUAAGUCAGAUGUGAAAUCCCUAAGCUUAACUUGGGGGCUGCAUUUGAAACUGGGUAUCUAGAGUGCGGGAGAGGAGAGUGGAAUUCCUAGUGUAGCGGUGAAAUGCGUAGAGAUUAGGAAGAACACCAGUGGCGAAGGCGACUCUCUGGACCGUAACUGACGCUGAGGCAUGAAAGCGUGGGGAGCAAACAGGAUUAGAAACCCGCGUAGUCC